rnacentral:lncRNA from 1 species
AGAAAUCUGACCACCAGGCCAAGGAAUGCCUGCAGCCCAGGAUUCCUCCUAAGCUGUGUCCCAUCUGUGCAGGACCCCACUGGAAAUCAGACUGUUCGACUCACCUGGCAGCCACUCCCAGAGCCCCUGGAACUCUGGCCCAAGGCUCUCUGACUGACUCCUCGGCUUAGCAGCUGAAGACUGAUGCUGCCUGAUCACCUCAAAAGCCCUGUAGACCACCACAGACGCCGAGCUUCGAGUAACUCUCACAGUGGAAGUGCUGUGCUGCCUUCUGAAUUCUCCUACAAAAAGCAGUGGCCAGGUCGUAUGGUCCUUACAUUCCAGGAAAUUGUAAAGCUCUUCAAACUCUUCAAAUUAUAAAACUCUUCUCUUGAAGACAACCCCUUUUCUUGGCAAAGAGGUAAGAGAAAAUACCAUAAAGAGGAGGGGUGGGAUUAGAGGAGUAAAUGGACCUUACAACUUCUCUUUUGUAACCUAGAGAUUAACAACAGGCUAAAGCUUGCAGAUCCAGUUUCACAAUGUUUUUUUGCACAUGCUGUAGAGGUGAUGCAGCAGCUUCCUGAUGUCCAGGGUUUUGGUGUAUAU